rnacentral:tRNA from 1 species
ACCUGGCUGGCUUAGUCGAUAGAGUGUGUGACUCUUGAUCUCAAGGGUCGUAAGUUCAAGCCCUACGCUGGAUG